AGCGGCGGACGGGUGAGUAAUGCCUAGGAAAUUGCCCUGAUGUGGGGGAUAACCAUUGGAAACGAUGGCUAAUACCGCAUAAUGCCUACGGGCCAAAGAGGGGGACCUUCGGGCCUCUCGCGUCAGGAUAUGCCUAGGUGGGAUUAGCUAGUUGGUGAGGUAAUGGCUCACCAAGGCGACGAUCCCUAGCUGGUCUGAGAGGAUGAUCAGCCACACUGGAACUGAGACACGGUCCAGACUCCUACGGGAGGCAGCAGUGGGGAAUAUUGCACAAUGGGCGCAAGCCUGAUGCAGCCAUGCCGCGUGUGUGAAGAAGGCCUUCGGGUUGUAAAGCACUUUCAGUCGUGAGGAAGGUNGUGUAGUUAAUAGCUGCAUUANUUGACGUUAGCGACAGAAGAAGCACCGGCUAACUCCGUGCCAGCAGCCGCGGUAAUACGGAGGGUGCGAGCGUUAAUCGGAAUUACUGGGCGUAAAGCGCAUGCAGGUGGUUUGUUAAGUCAGAUGUGAAAGCCCGGGGCUCAACCUCGGAAUAGCAUUUGAAACUGGCAGACUAGAGUACUGUAGAGGGGGGUAGAAUUUCAGGUGUAGCGGUGAAAUGCGUAGAGAUCUGAAGGAAUACCGGUGGCGAAGGCGGCCCCCUGGACAGAUACUGACACUCAGAUGCGAAAGCGUGGGGGAGCAAACAGGAUUAGAUACCCUGGUAGUCCACGCCGUAAACGAUGUCUACUUGGAGGUUGUGGCCUU
rnacentral:rRNA from 1 species